GGUUGACCUCGGAUCAGGUAGGGAUACCCGCUGAACUUAAGCAUAUCAAUAAGCGGAGGAAAAGAAACCAACCGGGAUUGCCUCAGUAACGGCGAGUGAAGCGGCAAGAGCUCAAAUUUGAAAGCUGGCUCCUUCGGGGUCCGCAUUGUAAUUUGCAGAGGAUGCUUCGACGUUAAAUAAGUGCCCUGGAACGGGCCGUCAGAGAGGGUGAGAAUCCCGUCUGGGAUGGGGUGUCCGCGCCCGUGUGAAGCUCCUUCGACGAGUCGAGUUGUUUGGGAAUGCAGCUCUAAAUGGGUGGUAAAUUUCAUCUAAAGCUAAAUACUGGCCGGAGACCGAUAGCGCACAAGUAGAGUGAUCGAAAGAUGAAAAGCACUUUGAAAAGAGAGUUAAAAAGCACGUGAAAUUGUUG
rnacentral:rRNA from 1 species